AAAGGAAUAGACGGGGACCCGCACAAGCGGUGGAGCAUGUGGUUUAAUUCGAAGCAACGCGAAGAACCUUACCAAGUCUUGACAUCCUUCUGACAGAGUAUGUAAUGUACUUUCCCUCCGGGGCAGAAGUGACAGGUGGUGCAUGGUUGUCGUCAGCUCGUGUCGUGAGAUGUUGGGUUAAGUCCCGCAACGAGCGCAACCCUUAUCCUUAGUAGCCAGCAGUAAGAUGGGCACUCUAGGGAGACUGCCGGGGUGAACCCGGAGGAAGGUGGGGAUGACGUCAAAUCAUCAUGCCCCUUAUGACUUGGGCUACACACGUGCUACAAUGGCGUGAACAGAGGGAAGCGAAAGAGCGAUCUGGAGCGAAUCCCAUAAAUCACGUCCCAGUUCGGACUGUAGUCUGCAACUCGACUACACGAAGCUGGAAUCGCUAGUAAUCGCAGAUCAGAAUGCUGCGGUGAAUACGUUCCCGGGUCUUGUACACACCGCCCGU
rnacentral:rRNA from 1 species